UAUGGAACACGAUGUUGACGUUAUUGCUGAGAACGUAGUAAGAUCGCGCUAUGAACGUAGUAUAAUCGUGGUAAGAACGUGUUAUAAUCGCAGUAAGAUCGUGUUGCAAUCGGAUAACUCGUGGUAUGGUCGUAGUGAGAACGUGAAGAGCGUAGAAAGAUCUUGAUAAGCGUAGCGAGGUCGCAGAAUAGCGCGGUGAGAACGUGGUAUAAUCGUAGCGGGAUCUUUGUAGAAGCGUAGAGAGGACAGACAUAGUAGCAUCGUGAAAGCAACGAAAAUUUACAUUUUCAUGCCGCUCAUACCGCGACAUCACCACGAUCUAAAUUUAUUUCAGAUCGCAGUGAGCGUGGUGCGAUCGUGGUCUAGUGGGACUAAGACAAUCGUAUUCGAAAAAAAACCCGAUCAGUAAGACUAUAUCUAAAAAAUAAAUAAAACGGCCAAAAUAAGUUAAAUCCUUAUAUAAACUGUUGCCAGC
rnacentral:lncRNA from 1 species